rnacentral:rRNA from 1 species
UACCAGCUCUCCGAGUGGUAGGGAUGAUUAUUGGGCUUAAAGCGUCCGUAGCUGGCUUAUCAAGUCUCCUGUUAAAUUCAGCGACCUAAUCGUUGAGCCGCGGGAGAUACUACUAGGCUAGGAGGCGGGAGAGGCCGACGGUACUUUCGGGGUAGGGGUGAAAUCUUAUAAUCCCGGGAGGACCACCAGUGGCGAAGGCUGUCGACUAGAACGCGCUCGACGGUGAGGGACGAAAGCUGGGGGAGCGAACCGGAUUAGAUACCCGGGUAGUCCCAGCUGUAAACUAUGCGGGCUAGGUGUUGGGGUGGCUACGGGCCACUUCAGUGCCGCAGGAAAGCCAUUAAGCCCGCCGCCUGGGGAGUACGGCCGCAAGGCUGAAACUUAAAGGAAUUGGCGGGGGAGCACCACAAGGCGUGAAGCUUGCGGUUC